AUUGAACGCUGGCGGCAGGCCUAACACAUGCAAGUCGAGCGGAUGAGAGGAGCUUGCUUCUCGAUUCAGCGGCGGACGGGUGAGUAAUGCCUAGGAAUCUGCCUGGUAGUGGGGGACAACGUUUCGAAAGGAACGCUAAUACCGCAUACGUCCUACGGGAGAAAGCAGGGGACCUUCGGGCCUUGCGCUAUCAGAUGAGCCUAGGUCGGAUUAGCUAGUUGGUGAGGUAAUGGCUCACCAAGGCGACGAUCCGUAACUGGUCUGAGAGGAUGAUCAGUCACACUGGAAAUGAGAACCUGUCCAGACUCCUACGGGAGGCAGCAGUGGGGAAUAUUGGACAAUGGGCGAAAGCCUGAUCCAGCCAUGCCGCGUGUGUGAAGAAGGUCUUCGGAUUGUAAAGCACUUUAAGUUGGGAGGAAGGGUUGUAGAUUAAUACUCUGCAAUUUUGACGUUACCGACAGAAUAAGCACCGGCUAACUCUGUGCCAGCCGCCGCGGUAAGAC
rnacentral:rRNA from 1 species